rnacentral:rRNA from 1 species
UACAGAGGUCUCAAGCGUUUGUUCGGAUUCAUUGGGCGUAAAGGGUGCGUAGGCGGCGCGGUAAGUCGGGUGUGAAAUCUCGGAGCUUAACUUCGAAACUGCAUUCGAUACUGCCGUGCUUGAGGACUGGAGAGGAGACUGGAAUUUACGGUGUAGCGGUGAAAUGCGUAGAUAUCGUAAGGAAGACCAGUGGCGAAGGCGGGUCUCUGGACAGUUCCUGACACUGAGGCACGAAGGCCAGGGGAGCAAACAGG